ensembl:lncRNA
AUGGAAAAACUGCUUUUGUUUCUGCUGUUCAUUGGCGUAGCGGUGCGAGCUCAGAUCUGCCCCAAGCGCUGCGUCUGUCAGAUCUUGUCUCCCAACCUCGCCACCCUGUGUGCCAAGAAAGGGCUCUUGUUUGUUCCUCCCAACAUUGACAGGAGGACCGUGGAGCUGCGGCUGGCAGACAACUUUGUUACAAACAUUAAAAGGAAAGACUUUGCCAACAUGACCAGCCUGGUGGACCUGACGCUGUCCCGGAAUACAAUCAGUUUUAUCACACCUCACGCGUUUGCCGACCUGCGCAAUUUGCGGGCUCUGCAUUUGAACAGCAACCGAUUGACUAAGAUCACUAAUGACAUGUUCAGUGGGCUCUCCAAUCUCCACCACUUGAUACUGAACAACAAUCAGCUGACUUUAAUUUCUUCCACAGCUUUUGAUGAUGUUUUAGCUCUCGAGGAAUUGGAUUUGUCUUACAACAAUCUGGAAACCAUCCCUUGGGAUGCCGUGGAGAAAAUGGUCAGUUUGCACACUCUCAGUCUUGACCACAACAUGAUUGACCAUAUUCCUAAGGGGACCUUCUCCCACCUCCACAAGAUGACCAGGCUGGACGUCACGUCCAACAAACUGCAGAAGCUGCCGCCUGACCCGCUCUUCCAGCGCGCUCAGGUGCUGGCAACCUCAGGAAUUAUCAGCCCCUCGACGUUUGCGCUGAGCUUUGGUGGGAACCCCUUGCAUUGCAACUGUGAGCUCUUGUGGCUGAGGCGCCUUUCCAGGGAGGACGACCUGGAGACCUGUGCCUCUCCUACGCUGCUGUCGGGCCGGUACUUCUGGUCGAUUCCCGAGGAGGAGUUCCUGUGCGAGCCCCCGCUCAUCACGCGGCACACCCACGAGCUGCGGGUGCUGGAGGGGCAGCGGGCAGCCCUGCGCUGCAAGGCCCGCGGCGACCCCGAGCCAGCCAUCCACUGGAUUUCACCCGAGGGCAAGCUGAUCUCCAACGCCACCAGGUCCACGGUGUACGACAAUGGGACGCUCGACAUCCUCAUCACCACGGUGAAGGACACGGGCUCCUUCACCUGCAUCGCUUCCAACCCCGCGGGGGAGGCCACGCAGACCGUGGACCUGCACAUCAUCAAACUGCCCCACCUGCUGAACAGCACAAACCACAUCCACGAGCCUGACCCGGGCUCCUCGGAUAUCUCCACAUCCACCAAGUCGGGCUCCAAUGCCAGCAGUAGCAACGGGGAUACUAAAGUCAGCCAGGAUAAGAAGGUGGUCGUCGCAGAAGCGACGUCCUCCACAGCUCUGCUGAAAUUCAAUUUUCAGAGGAAUAUACCUGGGAUACGUAUGUUUCAAAUCCAGUACAAUGGUACUUACGAUGACUCCCUUGUUUACAGAAUGAUACCUCCCACGAGCAAAACCUUUCUGGUCAACAACCUGGCUGCGGGGACAAUGUACGACCUGUGCGUCCUGGCCAUCUACGACGACGGGAUCACCUCGCUGACGGCCACCAGGGUGGUGGGCUGCACACAGUUCACCACCGAGCAGGAUUAUGUGCGCUGCCACUUCAUGCAGUCCCAGUUCCUGGGCGGGACCAUGAUUAUCAUCAUCGGUGGGAUCAUUGUGGCGUCCGUGCUCGUGUUCAUCAUCAUCCUCAUGAUCCGCUACAAGGUGUGUAACAACAACGGGCAGCAGAAGGCCACCAAGGUCAGCAACGUGUACUCGCAGACCAACGGGGCUCAGAUCCAGGGCUGCGGCGGGGCGCUGUCGCAGUCCAUGUCCAAGCAGGCUCUCGGGCACGAGGAGGGCGUCCAGUGCUGCAAGGCUGCGGGCGACGGUGCCGCGCAGUCGCCGGACACCGGCUCCGGCCAGGACUCGGCCACCACUACCUCGGCUUUGCCUCCCGCCUGGACUUCCAGCUCUCCCCUGCCGCAGAAGCAGAAGCGCAAGUCGGGGCCCAAGCCCGGCAGCGAGGCGCAGGGCGAGGCGGGCGGCGGCGCCGAGCCCCAGAACUCCAACAGGAACAACUCCACGGCCCUGACGCUGGCCGGGCGCGGCCCCGAGGCGGCCCCCACGUACAAAAGAGCACAAUCCAAGCCAAAAGCCGGGGCCUCUCUGCAGGACACCAGCCCCUGUGCCCUCCCUGACCACGCUGCCACAGAUGCUGCUCCUCGGCAGAAAUCGCUCCGGUUCAGCCUCUCCCAGGACUGACCUCUGGCUCACCCUCCGGAACCUUUACUUGAAGCUGCAGCCUGGGCCCUCCAGGUCGGCUGCCUCGAGGAACUGUCUUCCCCCUCACAGGUUUCCCAUCUGCCACUUGAAGUCUGAAAUUCCUGUUUUUUCUGGUGUCUGAGUUUUUUAUAACUAAAAAUGACGGCGAAGAAUCUGGUGGCAGCAGCUGCGGUCCCAGUCAUGUCCCAUGUCACCAGUGGUGAGGUCACGAGCUGUAAACAUGGUAGCUUCAAUCACCUGAACAAAUAAAUGUUUUACUACAACGGC